rnacentral:lncRNA from 1 species
AGACUUGGUUUCAUGUGCUUCAAGAAGAUCUUCCCUUCUUCCCAGAUUUUUUUUUCUUUAUUUUCCCAGAUUUGCAAAAUCUGAGGCAGGUUUUAUUGCAGAAGACCUAUGCUUUUUUGGGAAGCUCAUUUUAAACCUUCAUUCAAUUGGCUCAGCUGAAGUGAGAUCUUGAAUGAUUUUAGACAUUUGGGAAUGGAAGACAAGGUGAUGUGGAGACUAGAGCAUAGCUGCCUCAUUACUCUUGGUCUAGCCCAAGGUGAGAAACCAAAGAAGGAGGCUCAGGGAGAUCUGGAAAUACCAGCGUCAAAUAUUGAGUACAAAAGAGGGGCUUGAAGAAAUGCAACGUGCAAACUCCAUCAUUGACCAUCUGUAUGUUCCUAAGAAAAACAUGUCUUACAUCCUUCUCUUCAAAUUCACUGAUGAAUAUGGCUAGAGAUUUUCUUACUGAAGACAAUACGUGACGACUUGUUUUUUAACAUUUGAUUCCUCCCAUUUCCCAGCCACUAAGCACCAUGGGUAUUUGCAGGCAAUUGCUGUGAAGUCAGUUUGUUAAGAGGCAUGCCCAUCUACUUAAAAAUUUACCAGUCUUGAAAUUCUGAGUUAAACUAGUGUCAAAACUUGGGAUGGAGAAAGAGGAAAAAAAUAUUCUUUUCAGUAACCAAUAAAAGUUCUCCAGUCAAAAUUUUUCGCA